CCAUCGGACCUCACUCGUCGAAAGAAGCCAGUCAGAGAAGAAGGUGGGCUACUGCCGAUUGUGUGGUUAUAGAAGAAACCAAAUCUCAAUGUUGAGAGUGAAUUUUCCAAAAGUGAAAAACUGCUUGCGAAUUCGCUGAUUCGUGGCCGAUUGAUUCAGAAAACGAUACACAGUGUUUUGUGGAGCAGUUGCACUACACGAAUUUACUUACAGAUUUGUGGUGUAUUAGACAUAAAGUAAAAAAAAGAACGGAACGCGCGAGUGUGAAUGGUGUAAUUUGGGAUCAGAAAACAGACAAAAGUGAUUGCCUGAUCUCUGCAGUAUCUGUGUGGUGUUGAAAAAGAAGAGGAAAAACAAUACAGAAGAGGAGAAGAAUCAGUAGAUUGAAGUAUAUUGGUGGUUGGAAACCGCUCAGAUAUAGACGAAAACGGCGACGUAAACAUUACAUACAUAAUAAUUGCGUUAAAUUUGAGUUUCAACAUAAAAAACUGAGUUCGCCAUCUUUGACUGGCGCCAACUGAAACAUCGUUUCAACAUGCAAUAUUAACAUGUUUGGUGCAUAUUCAACAAUUUUACAUUAAAGGCUCACAUGCUACAGAGUGACUCACAGAGUGUAGUGAACAAGUGAGCUCAGACUGGGCAAGUGGAUUUUCGGCACAAGCAUGAAAGGUUACAACUUGGAUGGGUCAGGCGCCAGCAAAUGUUGGUGGACAUAACCUAAUAAGUGAAUCAACAUAAUAUCGGCUCGUACAUUUUUCAUUGAGAGUAAGAAAAUAAACAUUUUCUCUCUGGUUCUGCAAUCCGUACGAAACGCCAGACGCAGCCAUACCGAAAUAGGAAAAAGCACCCCACUAAUACAAGGAAGAAGCAACUGACACUCUCGUGGCUUCCGGAAUUAGACGGCCGGUUCCACCGGUUGCCUGUUUCCUAUUCGUACCAAUUAAGACUGAAAAAUGGCACAUUUCGAACCAGGUCGGGUCUGUAUUGACACUGGUGCGAAUCGUCACUCAUCGUCAUCGCAGCAAGUAACAGUAGCCAGCGGAACUAGCCAAGUGGACGAAAAUCACCAGAACCAGGCGCGGCUGUUGUAGUCCAUGUUGUAGUUAAAUAAGUGUUAGGGAGAAAUACACCGAAUGUGGCUGUUUUUUUUGCUCAGUGUUCUGCUUGUGUUGAAGUAGGUUCCUUUUGAGUGAUUUCUUUAUGUCUCAAUUGUGCUUGUUGUGGCACUCUUUGAAGUCAAUUCGUAAAAAUAUAAGCUUCGUAUAUCAGUGCAUGUGGAAGAAUAUAGUUAAGAAAGAUGAAGUUAGCAAGUAAAUAUGAGUGAGCAUGAAUAUGUAUUGAAGGAAGUAGAAUGUAAGCCAAAAGUGUAGUGUAAAAAAGAAGCGAAACAAAACAACAACAGCAAGAAAAAAAACGCAAUUUAGCAAAGUGCAUGUAGGAAGCAGAAAGAAAAUUGUGCAAAUAGUUCCCGCGAAGCGGAAAGGUGUCUGCUCUCGGAAGCAGACGAAGCUGACGGUCAAAAGUGAGUGAGUGAUCAAUUCGACGACGAGCCAGCAAAUAGAUUUUGCGAAAAAUGUCUUUCCUCAACAACCUUAAAAAGGUCUUCCACCUUGGCGGUGGGGAGGCCAAGAAAAAGCGCAUCUUCAAUAACAUCCGGAUGGACACAGACCCGAAUGAUUUCUGGGAUAUGAUUGGUGAGCUGGGGGAUGGAGCAUUCGGAAAAGUAUACAAGGCCAUCAAUAAGGAAACCAAACAGCUGGCAGCAGCUAAAAUGUGCACCCUCGAAGACGAAGAAAACCUGAGCGAUCAUAUGGUCGAGAUUGAUAUUCUGUCGGAAAUCAAGCAUCCGAAUAUCGUGGAGCUAUACGAGGCCUUCUCGAUCGAUGAUAAGUUGUGGAUGCUGAUCGAGUACUGUGAUGGUGGUGCCUUAGAUAGUAUUAUGGUGGAACUGGAGAAACCUUUGACUGAGCCCCAGAUUGCCUACGUUUGCAAGCACAUGGUUGCCGGGUUGUAUCACUUACACAAAAACAAGGUGAUACACCGCGAUCUGAAAGCCGGCAACGUGCUACUAACGAUGGACGGUGGCGUCAAGCUGGCGGAUUUUGGUGUUUCUGCGAAAAAUAAGCACACACUGCAGAAACAUGAUACCUUUAUCGGCACACCGUACUGGAUGGCUCCGGAACUGGUGCUAUGUGAAACGUUUCGCGACAAUCCGUAUGAUUUCAAGGUGGACAUUUGGUCACUCGGUAUCACAUUGAUUGAGUUUGCCCAGAUGGAACCACCCAACAGUGAGAUGUCCCCAAUGCGAGUUUUGCUCAAAAUUCAGAAAAGUGAUCCUCCGAAACUCGAUCAACCCUCCAAAUGGUCUAAAAGUUUCAACGAGUUUCUUGCCAAGGCACUGGUCAAGGAUCCUCAACAGAGGCCUUCUACGGAUAUUCUAAUGGGUUUAUCAUUUAUCAGUGGUAAUCUGGAUUCCAAACCAAUUAAGGAUCUAUUACUGGAGUAUAAAGCAGACGUUGUGGAAGAAGAAUUGGUGGACGAAGAAGCGGAGAAGGCAAAAAGACAGGCGAAGCGUAGAUCGCUUUAUCAGAGGGAACCCCGCAGUUCUGCGCUCCCGCUCGACUUGGACGAUGACUCAUCAUCGUUGCAAAGUCAAGAAACCUAUAAACUUCCAGAUACUCCCACAUCCUUAUCGAAAUCAUCCAGAGAUUCUAAAGAGUCGACACCUGUUCCGGCUGAAGAUGAUAGUAAUGCAAAACCAGCAACAGUUGGAACAACAGCAGCAGCUGCCACUACCACCACUUCGCCAGUGCAAACGCCACCGGCUGUUUCAAGCUCAGCUCCCAGUUCAAAACCAACACCAUCAGUUGCAACGUCUCCUUCAGCCGCGACGAGUGACAGUAAUAGUAAUGUACAAAGCGAUGCUAAGAAGUCACCAACUUCGGUUCCAGCGCCAGUAUUACCACCAGCUAAUGCACAACGUUUCUCGAAAGAGGAUGCGGAACCUGCGGAAAGCACGACUAACACAAGUGGUGCUAGCAGCAGUAGCAGUAGCAUAGAAGUUGAGAAAAAAGGUGUCAUUAAGAAGGAAAAAGGGCCGGCUCCUCCGCCGCCUCAAACUCCAUCAUCGCCAAGUAGUCGAAGCGCUCCGACCAGUGUUGGGGUCAGCACGACAGUUCAAACUACUGUUCCUCCUACACCACCGGAGACUCCACAAACUCCGGCCAACAGAGGCGUUGACCGCCCUGAUAAUUUUGUGAUUUCAAAAACACCAUCUUCACCCGUGACAAUAGAUCGUCAGUUGAGUAGCGAUGAAUUAAUCAAAUCUCCCAAGAAAGAGCAUGCACCUUCCCCUCCGAAGCCAUUUUCGAAGGACAGCCCUGCUGCAUCACCACAACCUCACGACGAAUCGUUCAAUCGACGAUUCAUGACCGAAGAAUUGCAUGGCGAAGAGUCUCCAUCGCGGACUGAAUCGCCUUAUCCCAAAGAACAACAACCAGUAAACACAACCGUUGCCAUUCCAAAACCAAUGCUUCCUCCAUUCGAUGAUGAACAAUUGCAGUACCCUCCCCACAUGAUUCCUCCGCCGCUCUUGCCGGAUGAUGAUAUUCGAAUAACAUCAACACCGAACAGCAAGCAAACCAACACAAAUAAUACGUCGAUGAUCACAAUCAACAACGAUACCGUACUAGCGGAUCCGUCCAACAGUCUUGCCACUAACGUUAGCCAAAUCACCGUUGUCACUAGCCAUCCGCCAGUGAUAAUCGACAAUUCCGUCGUUCCUUCCGGUUCUUCGUCGUCCGCUUCUUCGACGAAAUCAUUUGGGUCCUCGCAGCGAAGAUCACGUGUCAUUUCGCCAAAGGGUAGCGACGAAGUUGUUAUUGUUUCCAAUGAGUUAAAUAAAACCCAUGUCAACGAAUCGUCUACGGAUGAUGAUUUCCAGUCGCUGGAUAGCCUGGAGAACCUUUCGCCCAAAUACAGAAAGCAACAGCAGCAACAAUCGAGUGGUGGCCAAAUUGCACGUAAACUGGACGAAAGUGAGGUGCUGAUCGUUAGUCCGAGUUUUAUCGGCGAAGGUCAGGAGGAACAGCAGGAGCAGGACGAUUUUAUCAACGAUGAGCUGUUUAUAGGUAAUAGUACUAAUCAUAGUAACAGUAAAUUAUUGGACACUAGUCAUGUUUCGGUGGUCACCGUUGGAGAAGAGGAAAUCAAGGUGAAGGACUCUUCGCACCACGCGCAUCUAAUAAACAGCGGUACCAGCCAUCUUCACUUGCAUCAGCAGCAGCAGCAGCAGUCGCAUGUGUUGAACCAUCAUCACGAUUCGAUUAGUGACCUAUCGAAUGUCAGUUGUGGCCCUAGCGAAUCCAGCGAUGAUGUUAAGGUAAUGGAUGUUAUUUUAACCCAUCAGGGGGCUGGAACUACCAGUACUAGUAGUGUAAGCACAGGCAGCACGGUAACAACCGCCGGUGGUUUUGCUCAACGGUCUCCAUCGGGCUCAUCGAUUUCAUCGCCACUGCGAAGUGGUUCUAGUAAUAAGUUAAACGGAGACUUCAACCGGAGUCGGGAAGAUGUCAGUAUCAUAGUGAAUAAGCGUAAGAUUAUAGAAAAGCAAAGGAUUUCGCCCGAUAGCAGCGUCGGAUCGAUGGAUGGUGGCGGUUCGGUACGAUCGGCAAGUACCCCAUUACAACACCAUCAACAGCAACCGCAGCAGAAUGCAACUGGUGCUAAACUGUUGGAUCGAAGUGAUGCUGAAAGCAUAGCCACUACAACUAGUCACGACAGCCGAGAACAGUCUGUGGAUGAAGAAGUACAGCUGCGUCGGAAACCACCAGUGGUCGAUAUGGAGGAGGACAAAGUUCCGCCUAUUGUUAGCAAUACUAGAACAAAACCUAGCCAACGAAACUUCAGUAAGGAAGAGAUUCACAUUCAAAACCUUAAGAAGAAAACGCGCAAACGAACACGAAAGUUCGAGAUUGAUGGAGUUCAGGUUACGACCACUACCAGCAAGGUCAUUUACAGUGAUGAAGAUAGCAACAAGCUGUAUGAUGAUCACUUGUUCCGCAAACAGGAACUGAGAGAACUGAAAAUGCUUCAGAAACAAGAGAAAAAACAAUUUUAUGAACUUCAGCAAAAGGAAUCGAUUGCCAAAGAGCAGCAGGAGAAGAAGUUCGAACAGGAACGGUUACAACUGGAGCGUACAUUUGAGGCUGAUAUGGAUGUGCUGGCACGGCAGCAUCGACAAACUGUGGAAAAGUACGAGCAACAACAAGAGACUGAACUUAGGAAUACAUCGAAAAAGAUUCGAGCCGAGCAGGAACGUGAUUUAAAACUGUUUCGGGACAGCCUCAAGCAGGAAAUUCGUCUGCUCAAACAAGAAGUGGAUCUACUACCAAAGGAGAAACGAAAAGAUGAAUUCCGAAAACGAAAAACGGCGAUGGAACUAGAGCACGAGGAACGUGAAAAGAGCUUCUUAGCCACUUUGUCGGAGAACCAUGAACUGGCCUUGCGGAGGAUCAGUGAAAUAUAUCGAGAAAAACUGUCCGCUGCUGAUAAGGGCUACCUACAGCAGAAACAGACGGCUAUGCGAACCCGUGAGGCUAUGCUCUGGGAACUGGAGGAAAAACACAUUCACGAUAAACAUCAACUGGCGAAACGGCACGUGAAGGACAUUUGCUUCAUGCAGCGACAUCAAAUGAUCAUCCGUCACGAGAAAGAGUUAGAUCAAAUUAAAAGAAUGAUUUCCCGGAAGGAGGAAGAACUGCUGAAACGGCAGACUAUUGAAAAACGCGCUCUGCCAAAGCGGAUUCGAGCCGAACGGAAAGCUCGAGACAUGAUGUUCCGCGAAUCGUUACGUAUAUCAAUGACGACUGAUCCGGAGCUGGAGCGAGAAAAAUUGAAAAAGUUCCAAGAGCAGGAGAAGAAACGCUACAAUCAAGAGCAGAUACGUUUCGAAACCAAGCACAGCAAACAGUUGGAAGAAUUGAGAGCUACCUCAGAUGGUUCCAUAAGAGAACUCGAACAGUUACAAAACGAAAAACGCAAGCAACUGCUGGAACAUGAAACCGCCAAACUGCGCGAAUGUGAUGAGGCACUGCAGAAAGAGCUGCGAGAAUGGAAAUCUCAGCUUCUACCCAGGAAACAGACUGUGCAAGAAGACCUCGACUGGAUGGUGACCGAAUACGCGAAAAAAUGGGGUCCUGUAGAUCGGCGUGAUUUCGAUGGAGAAUUUGUAGUUCCGCCUGAAAUUCGGAAUCGAACCAAUUCUUUGAACACCCGUUCCCUGCGCUUGCAUGGCGGCUUGCUAAAUAUUUCCCGUUCUCGCACCUUCCUUACACUACCGGUUGCCAACGGGCGAAACAGUAUACACAGUUCGGUACCAGAUUUGAGUCGCUCCGUUCCCAAUACACCUAACACAGCACAUAAACUCUCCAUUGCUUCGUCUUACGAUUCGGUACUGGAAGAGAAUGAAAAUGAAAAUUUGCCUGUACACCAUCGUCCCGUCCCCGGAGAAAAUCAAUCUGCUAUAAAAUAUCUUUUCACUGAUGACGGAGUACACAUGCGAAGAAAAUCGGAAGACUUGCUGUCCGGCAGAAGAACUAAAAACCCAUAUAAAAAUGAUGCUAGAUAUCAUCAAGAUCAUGUUAGUAGAACCCGUCAUAUGCCCAGUAUGCCACCACUUCAAAGCCAUUAUCGACAAAGUUCCGAGCCAAACAAUCGCAUCGUACCAAUCCGUGUCAAUCCGGUUAAAAAACCGGCAAGUAUUUUGGAAGGGAUAACUAAUCGGUCCUCCAUAAGUACCGCUCAGCAUUCAGGUGCUACUUUGCCCCGUUCUGGAGCGGGAUGGGGAAACAGUCGUCUAGGUACCACCACCACCUUUCCCUCGGAUGCCAGCGUGAAUAAGCUGACGACAUUCAGUUCUGCUAAAGGUGGACUUCCUCUACAAUCAGUAGCUCAGAAUCAAAAUUGCGAAAGUGCAUUGUAUCGUGAUAGAAAGUCUUCUUCGGGUUUGAAACUUUCACCAUCCACACCACUACUCUUGUCUCCGAGUGCGGACUCGGGUAGAAAAGAUUCGGUUGCAUAGACUAUUGUAUCAGAUAGAAUUCCCCGCUAGUGUUAGUUAGUCUAGUAAAAAUUUUCUCUUAGUACAACUGAUACAUUCAUGGAAGUUUCAUUUCCAGCUGGACUUUAUCUAGGUUCUGAAACUGUGUAUACGUGUUUUCCGACUUUCAAUGAUCUUCCUUCUAGCAAAAUAUUGUUCAAAUAAUCGAAAGUUGCAAAACAUAAAUGAAUAACACUAGAACUAUCGCACAUCUCUGCACUGUUUCCCAUAUACUACUCGUUCUACUGCGUUUAAACUAAUAUUUGCUACUCUAACACGAAAAGAGGAACAAUGGUAAUACAUGCACAUUAGCCGAUCCAAAAAUAAUCGGAUUAUUCUGCGCCUAUGGUACUAAGCACUAAUCCAGAUCACCUAACCGUAUGACAGAACUACUAAUACCUGGAGAAAACAGUUGCAGAUUUUCUCUCAAUGAAAGAGAAAAUUUCAGAAGAGUUAUUUGUUGACAUUUAUCGCAAUUGUAUCACCGAUCAAGCUUUUUAUACGGAUUCGAAACGGAAUUGAAUGCUAGUAAAUUAACGGAAGCAGAAACCGGGUGGGUGAAAUCAACACUCGGUUGCCCAUUCGAUGGAAAAGAAACAAGCGUUUGGAGGAAACAUUCGCACAGCAGCAGGAAGAAAUGGAACAUUUGUACGGCAACAGUCUGGUACCGAUGCCGCCACAUUCGCCACAAGCGCAUGAUUUGCUCCAGAUCGGUUCGACCCGUAGCAGUAUUUCAU